UCGAGAAUUUUUCACAAUGGACGAAAGUCUGAUGGAGCGACGCCGCGUGGAGGAUGAAGGUUUUCGGAUUGUAAACUCCUGUCACUGCAGAACAAGGCAGUGCGUAUGAAUAGUACGCGCUGUUGAUGGUAUGCGGAGAGGAAGGGACGGCUAACUCUGUGCCAGCAGCCGCGGUAAGACAGAGGUCCCGAGCGUUGUUCGGAUUCAUUGGGCGUAAAGGGUGUGUAGGAGGUCGGGUCAGUCAGGUGUGAAAUCUCAGAGCUUAACUCUGAAACUGCGCUUGAUACUGCUCGGCUAGAGGAUCGGAGGGGGUAUCGGAAUUUAUGGUGUAGCAGUGAAAUGCGUAGAUAUCAUAAGGAACACCGGUGGCGAAGGCGGAUACCUGGAAGAUUCCUGACUCUGAAACACGAAAGCCAGGGGAGCAAACGGGAUUAGAUACCCCUGUAGUCC
rnacentral:rRNA from 1 species